rnacentral:rRNA from 1 species
CCUACGGGGGGCAGCAGUGGGGAAUAUUGCGCAAUGGGUGAAAGCCUGACGCAGCGACGCCGCGUGAGGGAUGAAGGUCUUCGGAUCGUAAACCUCUGUUAGCAGGGAAGAACGGUCACUGUGCUAAUCAGCAGUGAAUUGACGGUACCUGCAAAGGAAGCACCGGCUAACUCCGUGCCAGCAGCCGCGGUAAUACGGAGGGUGCGAGCGUUAAUCGGAAUUACUGGGCGUAAAGCGCUCGUAGGCGGUAUGUCAAGUCAAGGGUGAAAUCCCCGCGCUCAACGUGGGAACUGCCUUGGAAACUGGCAAACUGGAGUGUGGGAGAGGAUAGUGGAAUUCCAGGUGUAGCGGUGAAAUGCGUAGAUAUCUGGAGGAACAUCAGUGGCGAAGGCGACUAUCUGGCACGUAACUGACGCUGAGGAGCGAAAGCGUGGGGAGCAAACAGGAUUAGAUACCCUGGUAGUC